AGAGCUUUCAACAAAAUGCUAUAUUCCCUUCAAGACACUUGCUUGAAUUGAAUGGCAAGCAUGCAGAUUUUUCCAACACCUUACAUGAAAACAGAAUAAGACAGAUAAUAUCCUUUUCAAAAGAGCAGAGAGACAACUUCCUGAAACUGAUCUGAAAACUAUGCGUACCUGGGACUGCCCUUUUGUUUUCCCUGGAUCCAAUCAUAAGCAUUCCAGUGAAAAGCUUUCUCCUCCUCCUCACCUGACUGAGAGACCUUAAGAAGUUAAAACAAAAUAAGGUAAUGAUGUCUAUUGCUGAGAAGCUAACACUGAUGCCAUGGGACAGCUUGGACUGAAGAGCUCAGAUAUGAUAAAGAGGAUUUUGAGUUUCUUACAAGGUCUUUCAGAAUAAAUAAAAGAAUUCCAAUGAGAUGAUCUGUCUAGAAUGUAAGAGAAACAACAACAGAACAAGGGACCGUUAAAAGAUAAAGAAUCAGCUCAGGUCUGAAAACAAGCAGAUGAUGAGGAAGAAGAAAACAACAUGUACCAAGUUCCAAACUGUCAAACAACUCUUCUGAACACUUACCCCAUGCUGAGCCUGCUAUGGAGAAUCUCUCUCUGUCACAGAAGCCAGCCGGACAUCCUGCAGGAGGAAGGUUCUCCUGGGUACAGACCUAACAGCAAAUCUGGAGCAUGAAAUCAAGAUGACUUCAAGAAAACUUCAGUGUUUUCCAAGCAAAGACUCUGCUUUAUGAGAUAUUUAUUCCCAUGAGUAAUGCCCUUCUCUUUGAGUGACAAUUUACUGCAUCCUUGGAAUUGAGUAGUAUACUGUGUAUAUCUUUAUGAUACAUUAUGGAUGCAUGUAGUUUAUAGUAAUCUAUAAAUACACAUGCACACAUAAAAAUAUAUGUACUUUUACUAUUUAUAUAAUGUGCAAAUCAUACACAUACAUAACUUUUUAAUAUUAUUUACAUAUAAGUAUAAAAUUUCAUGGACUGAAAGCAUAGUAUCACUAGGCCUAUGUUAUGGGGAAUUCAUAACAUGCACUAUAAUAGAUAGAUAUUUAUUUAGAUAUUAAAUAGAUAAGAGAUUUUGUUUACAAUACUAAUAUUUCACUUUUCUAUGGUUAAGAGCCGGUACUUUGUGCCUUAGCAGUUGUAUAUAUAGAAGUAUAUAGGUUAGAUAAAGAGGCAAAAUUGAUGAUAUGCUUAAUACCUGAAUGCUUUUUGAGUGACCUCCACUGGUGAUCUGACCUGAAUUGGUUCCACUAUUGAAAUUUUGAGUGGCAGUAAUAUCUACAUCAACAAAAUAACCUACAAAACUCCUGUGUAUUUGUUCUAUUAUGGAGACUGAAGUGUGGAGGAAAACAGGGUUUGAAAUGAUGGUUUUUUUCUUCUCAGCAAUGCUACAGAGUGUGAUAAACAUCACACCACUUGCACAUUAAAUAACAGUUAGUAGGAACAGUUACCAGCAAUCUUGAAAGCAUUCAACUUCAUUUAAAUAUUUUAGACUUACAAUCAUUCUAUAUACUCAUUAUUGAUAACUUUUUUUUUUUUUUUUUUUAAUUUGUAAGCAAACAAUUUUUUCUACGUCACAUCUCAAGUACAGGAAAUUACUCUUGCAUCUUCUUGUCAUUUACAAUUUUCCAUCUUUUGCUGCAAAGCUAUGAUAAAUGAAUUUUCAGUGAGAUCACGAAAGCAGCCUUGUCAUUCUGUCACAAAACAAGCCUUAGAUAACAAAAGUUAAUUACUGCAUUCUCUUAGUUUUGAAAUAAAGAAUUUUCACUGCUUCAGAGGCAGAUUUGAAUCUGCAGAUUAAAAGGAAUAGUACAAAAAUAACCAUAAAAAUUGCUUCUUUAGAACACAUAAAGCUACAUCUGUUUGAAGACAAAAACAUCAGUAAUUUCUCAAGAUAAGUAAAGUAGAUGAUUGUCCAAGACUUCUGUUUAAUGUUUGAUAUUAAAGUAUGUUGGGUACUGUCAUUGAGAAAGGUAAUAAUUAUAGAAUAUCUUUAGCUGCAAAAGACCUAUAAGGAUCACUGAGUCCAGCUACUGGCUUCACACAGGAUUACCAAAAAAUCAGACAAUAUCUCUGAGAGCAUUCAUCUCAGAUGUUUCAUUUUUGACUUCAUGAUGUAUUGGAUACAUUCAGUUUUAUAAAUAAAGUGUGAAUAGGUAUGUAUUAAUAAGGCUAUAACAAGUUUACAGAGAGAGAACUGAGAGGAUGAGAAUCAUAUCAAACACUUAAACUGUUAAAUGAAGAAUAAUCUGUUGGUGCCUUGUAAUGCUUUGCUUGAGUGAAGAGGCAGUAAAAUCUGUCAGAUUAGAUUUGAUCAACUGACACAGUCAAUUCAAAUUCCUUCAAAAGAUGCCUGUAGACUUUACCUUACCAUAUCAACCUUAAGUUAUGUAAUGGUAACAAGGCAUCUCUUUUGGAAAGAUAAACAGCUUUGGUUGAAAAGUUUAAUGUGAUGGGAGAGUAGCAAAUUAACUGGAAUAUGGAUGAUCAUUUUUUACUUAAGAAUAAGGACAAAGAUAAAAAGUAAUAGAAAAUGAAAGAAAACAAACUGUUGUUAAGCAUAAUUUUAAUGAGUCCAUUGACUCUAAAAGAAAAGUAGAUCUGUUUCUAAUAGCAGGAUAAAUUAGCUCAUGCUUCAGACUUUUUAAAAAAAUAUAUUACUUUAAAUGCAGAAUUUACGUUAUUUAUAUAUAUAUAUAUAAUGUAUUUAUUUAUUUAUCGUUAAAUUUCACAAUGUUCAUUCAGACCUUCACAUUUUCAGGUAUCUAAGAUUUCUUCUUUCCCAAGGCAGGUUAUGCCAAUGAUUCAUUACUGCUGUUUUAAAAUGCAUAAUUUACUUCUGGUCACUAUCCAGCCUCAUCUGUUAGAUUAGGGAGAUCCACCAAAAUAAGGUUUCAUCUUAUGUGGAUAUCUGCAGAAUAUCAUGAGAUCUGUUAUUUUAACUUUCACAUUACUGAAAUAGAUUGCCUUUCCCACUCUGUUAGGCUUUCUAAAUUUGAGUACCCUGCCAUGUAGCCCAUUCCAGUGAUAUAUCACUUACAGAGAUGGAGAUUUGCAAAAGCAGUCCAUUUGGACAUAAACAGUGGCUGCACUGGCACAGUGGAAUUACAUCUGUCCCAUCAUAUUUAAAGAAGCACGAGACCAGUAAAAUCUAGCUGCAUUUGUCCUUAUGGUACAAGUAGUGAAACUGUGGGCUAUGUACUGGAACAGAGUCUGAGUCAAGAGAACUACAAGCCUGAGGACCUCAUGUUAAAUCACGGGUUUAGAAAGUGUUCAUCCCUUGUGACAAGAGACUACAAAACUAGGAGAUAAAAUUAUGUGACAUCGAAUACCACAGACUGUCGGGUACCAUUUUCAGUGAAUUAUGUUGGAAAUCUUUUAUUAAGAUAACUGAAAAGAAAUCAGUUUUAAACAGAAAUGUAGUCAAAUAUCAUUCUAGGUAAUUAGACUUGGGAAUCAGAUACUCCUCCAAUGAAUAAAAGAAACAGUCACUAACACGUACUUUUCAUUUUCAAGAAAUGUCAGGCAUUUGAAAAAAAAAAUAGGCUAAUGUUUUUGAAAUACAGACAAAUGAAAUUUUGUGCACUAUUACAGUGCCACUACAUCUGAAUAAGGUCCUUACAGACCUUGACAGUCUAGAGAGAUAGGCUGACAAGAAGCUCAUGAAGUUCAACAAGGAGAAGUGUGAAAUUCUGUACCUGGGGAGGAACAACCCAGGCACUAGGAGAUGUUGGAGACCACACAUCUGGAAGGCAGCUCUGCAGACAAGGAUCAGAAUAAAGGAAUGGAGUCUUGGAGGGAUCUCAUCAUCUAUAAAUACCUGAAGAGAUGCUACAAUGAGGACAGAGCCAGUCUUUUUUCAGCCCGGUGUCAAAAUGAGAGGCAUAGGGCAUAAGAGGUUCCAUCUGAAUAUCAAGAUGUGCUUCUGUGCUAUGCAGAUGCCCAGAGAGAUGGUGGAGUCCCUGCUUGGAGAUCUCCAGAAGCCACCUGGACAUGGCUCUGGGCACCUAGCUUUGAUGUCCCUGCUUGCGCAUGGGUUGGGCCAGGUGGAUCCAGAGAUCUCUAUCAACCUCCAUCAUUCAGUGAUUCCACAGUCUUGUAAGAACAUUUGGCAGAUGGCAGACAAAACACUGGAAAUACACAGAAAGCGAAACCAAAGAAAUUAACAGACCUUUCUCAAUCGUUUCCAGUAGCAUGCUCAGCAUUAUGAACAAAUUUGAGCAUUGCUCAAUGUAGUUAUACUUUUAUACUUUUAUUGCUAAAUUGCAAAAGUGUAUUCCUCCUUUAAUUUAGCUGCUUUUCUAUGAAGUUCCUUCUCUUUUCGUGGAAGGUUUUGAUGGAAACAACAGUCACCAAGGGAAAUGAUGAUAAAGCUUCAGGUUGCUGCAAGAGUUCUGGUCUAAUGGGACCUGCAGAGCAACUAUGCUCACGUGAAACAUACUCAUGCCCCACUAGCAAAGACUGAUGUGCAAGAUAUAAAAUAGGUUACCCAAGUUUAUAAAGAAAAAUCUGGAAAUUAUUGUGCCAGAAACACUGGUGUUGGUGUGGUUAUUUUUCUGGAAAGUGAUAUGGAAUAAGGUGUCCAGGAGCUGCUUUGGUACUAUUCUUUCUCAGAGUGUUGAUCGAGAGCUUUGCACAUCCAGUCAGUUUUAGGUGGGGCAAUCACAGCUUUUCACCAUACCUGCUAAAUGCAAAGGAAUGUGUAUAAAUAAGCAGUGAAAUACAAGAGUACUUAGGGGUAAGAAUGAUAACAGUAUUAGGGAAGCAGGAUAACAAGUUGAUUUUUUUUUGUUGUUUUUUUUUUUUUUGUUUUUGUUUUUAAAAUCAAAUUAAAAUAUUUACCAUGCAUGCUUUUUAAAUGAAAGUUUAUGAAUUGCAAAAUGGAAUAUGUGCCCCGGUGGCACAGUGGUAGGAAUGCCACUUUGCAACACCAGAGCCCGGGUUCUAAUCCCCCUGUGGAACAAGUGGUAGAAGUGCCGUUGUGCUACACAGGAGGCUCGAAUCCCGGGGGCUGGACUCGAUGAUCUCUAAGGUCCCUUCCAACCUGCAUGAGACUGUGAUACUGUGUGAUACUGUGUGAUACUGUGAUAUUAUACUUUGGAAAAUUCUAAUUUCUUUAUAACAUACUCUCUGUACAUUUCAGUAAUACUGAAUACUUGCUGCUGCUAUUUUAUCUCCCUCAAGAAAAGUGAGGUGAAAAACUUCACCCAUUUUUAAAGUUGUUUCAGGAGAAUAAGUCUGAAUCUGACCAUAAAAAAGCAAGUUCAGUAUUGUACAAAGCAGAAGGAGAAUGAGUAUAAUCAGUCCCAGAAAGAGUUGUAUUAGCAUAAUUUAAAUUAUGCAGUCGUUCUCCUUUUCUGUGCUGUUCUCUACUGCCACUCCAGAACUACAUAUGCAUACAGUUAUGUCUUUAUAGUUUACCUUCCUUACCUGAAACUGGGUGGUUAAGUCAAUGUAAAUUGUUUCUAGUAGAACUUCAAGAAUCAUCUCUGUUCUUCAAUCCUCUAAUUGCAUCUAAAGGAAAGUUCAAAGUAACAGCUGUUCAGUACAACAUUCCAGAUUAAAUAAAUCUUUUCAAAGUGGAUAAGAAUAAAGAAAAUAAUGAAAGUGUCCCUAUUCAAAUGGGGUUUCUUAUGCAAAUUGCUUUCAAGUUACAAUUUUUAGUGAUUAAUAAGAGCCUUAAACUUCAAGUAUAGUAUUAACAUAAAAAUGGUAAAAUAGUUUUGAAUAAACUCUUAAAAGUACAUUCCAGAGGCAUAUUUAGGUCAUGUUUCAUAUUCAAAACUUACAUUUAGUAAUAAUGGUUACUGUGCAUCACAUUUACAGCCAUCUUUCUCUGUUUAAAUUACCUUCUUCUUACUGUAUUCUACUUCUUGCAAAAUGUGAAGAUAUGGACAAAUUGUUCUCAUCUCUUUAGUGGCACUAGCUGAAAUCACAGUCUAAGGAACCAGAUAGGUACUUUCUUUACAGGUCAAAUUUCCAAAACUUUUGAUUCUGUAUAUUAAGAGUCAUAUAGAGUAUCCCACAGCUCAUUAGAUUAUAAUCUAAAGAGACAAAUGAAGAAUGCUUUCAUAAGGGAUAACACUGUAUAAAAUGCACCUCUAUGGAAGUUAAUAAGAGAAAACAAGGAUGCUUUUCAACUUAGUUUAGCAUUCUAAAUCAUUCAUCUGGGAAGCAGUUGCAUUACUAAGUUAAAUUCUAAUUUAGUUAUUUAAGUAACAGCGUGAAGAAUCCAGAAAUUUGUAUACCUGACAGUGGAAAAAGCCCAUGUCUGAGACAGCUAGCAAGCCACAUACAUAUCUUAUAACACCACUGAACACUGCUUACAAUAUUUUAGUUUUUCUCUGCCGUGUAAUUGCAUUUUCAAUACAUUUUCCUUGGAUAAUUGUUUUGCAUGGUGUAAAAUUCAAUUGACAUGUCACAGAAUAUUGUCAGCUGUAUCUAUUAGAGGCUGUUCUCAAGAGAUGCCAUUUUUGCAAUCAUUAUAUUUAUAUUUUAGGCACUUCUUAGAGAAAUGAAGUGUCAUAAUAUUUGAUAAUCAUUUAUUCAUUACCAUAAAACCUGUGAUGGAUGAUAAUAUGCAGAAAACUGUGAGGUACUACAGCAAGUGUAAUGGCUUAGAAACACUGACUCUUGCUGAGAUAAUAUAUCCUCUUGGUAAUUCUUUCUUCAGUCAAAAUUUUCAGAAAAGGAAGACUGUGUCAUGCAGAAUUUGAAAUGGAUAACAUUGUUCAAAAAGGGGCCUGGGAUCAAGAUGCAUAUGAAAAAAAUUAAAAACAAAACAAACAAACAGAAAAAGGUUUCAGUGGAAAAUCUGACUAUACAGAAUACAUAAAUCUGAGUUUCUUAAGUUUUGGAGCUGUUAAAUACUACUAAGCUCAUGGCUGAGCAUGCUACAUCCACAGUCUCUGGUGCUUGCUGCUCACAAAACUCUCAAGUCAUUAAUAGUCUGUGAACCACCCUGACCCACACAUUAACAAGUUUUCAGUUUAUUGUUCAAAGUAAAAUGAUAAUAGCUGGGUUUGAUCAAAGAUUUUUCUCAGUCUUUGCAUUUGCUAGUGGCGAUUAUGAACAAACUAUGCAGGAGAGAAAACUUAUGUGAGAAGUCAGAGGCAUUAGAAACUCUAAAAGAUACAGAAUGGCUCUACGAUAUAGCUCCUAUAAAGAAAAGACUUAAUUAUACGUCAGAUUUUAAAUUCAGUAACUCAUAUAUGGCAGUUAUUAAAGAAAAAGAAAUAAGUGUAUGAAAUGUUGAUACAAAUCAGAGCAUGAAAACUAUAUAAAGAUUAGAAUAGUGGGUGAAUUUUCUAUAAAUUAAACUAGGAUUCUAACAACAGUUUUUAGAAUUCUUUGGGGAUAAUAAUAUGAAGUGUUAGCUAUUAAAUAAAGUAUCGUCAAAGACUGAGGUAAUUAACAUUUUAAUCAGUAAACCAGUAGAAAAUUCAUGGUCUGAGCUGUUAAAAUAACUUUUUUGCAAGCACACCAGCUACAGAUUAAAAUAUUCCUUUAACUGUUGUUAGUUAUAUAACAAAAUUGCUUGACUGCUUUAAGGCUGGUGGCAUGGCAACAGAUCCAUGACUACCACAAUAUAACUUCAUUUAUAAGUGAGUUAUUCCUCUGUAUUUUUAGCUGCAGUUCAUGCAGAAUAAGUUACUGCCAGAUUUCCUCCAAAGAAGUCAGUGCUUGAGGUCACUGGAUCACUUUUUAGAGCUUCAUUUAAAUAAAAAGGUAGACCAUAAAACUGAUGUACACUAAUCUUUCUUCAAAUUUUUUAUGCACUUGUCACAUCUGUACAGACACACACCCACUUCUCAAUGUGUAAUUUAUUUGGCACUUCUUAAUUUGUCACAGUAAAGGAGACCUUGAAUUCAGGAAAAUAUGCCUUAUUGGGGCCAGAAAAUAAUAAGUAGGAGAAUGCAAAGAGUCUAAAAGUAGAUGCUGCUCCUCACUAUAUCAGACCACAUACUGUAAGUGUUCUGUUUACAUUCUGCACCAUAUUUUGAAAACUGGGACUAGAUUAAGCUAGUAAUGCUUUUCUGUAAGGAGAGCUAAAACACUGCAGGGACCUUGUUUCAUGUAGCUCUGAGAUGAGCUCACUCGGUUGGAGGUAGGAUUAUUAUAAAGUUCCGGAAUUAGAUGAGUCCAUGGGAAUCUAUGUCCAUAAAUUACAUUAUUUAUUUUCUAAUUAUUAGGUAUCAUAUAGAAAGUAACAUAGGAAAAAGACACACAAAAAACUUGGUGGUCCUUCUUUGGUCUCACUAGAAAGACUGGUGUUUUGAUGAUUUUUGACUCUAUCCUUUUGCGUUGUGACUGAAGAUCAGAAGUAGUACCAGACCGGUAUAGGUGGUGUGGAUCAGAAUGCAGCAGAAUACUGUCAUGUCAAAGUGUGCAUAUACUGCAGUCACAGGAGAAGCUUACCAAAGCUGGUUAUUCAUAACUCAUGAAUUUUACAUAAGUAACUGCAUCACAGUUUUAUCUGAGCAAGUUUUAAAUUAGCUAGUUCUUCUGCAAAGAGCUGCUAUUGCGGUACUGCAGAUCUCAACAUAUUUCAGGGACUAAGCAUGUUUGAAAAGCCUGGUACUUAGUUCUGUGGCUAGACUCCACAUAGGUCAGAGACCUGUGGGACCAGGUCCCAGAUUAUGUCAGGUGUGUCCAUGUUGCACUGAAAACAUAGUGGAUACCGCAACUGAGAUACUGUGAACUUUUGGCAAAAUUACCUUGAAGACACAGAUUUAAGUUAAUAAGGAUUUCUCAGGCUCCUCAGAGAGGGUAGAUGUAGAUGCUGGUCUGCCAAAAGAAGCUUUCUCUCUAGCAUGCUGGAAGACAAGAAUGUAUUGAGGUGCAAAUAUACCUCAGAGUAUCUGCUAAUGGAUUUUACUGUUGUUGAAGUUCAUGAUUUCAGCAGACAUUUUAGAAGUUUGGGAAGAAUUUCACCAAACUUCUGGUAUGUUUAACCAUCUUUUCUUGUGAGAACCUGAGACAAGGUAAAGUAAUUGCCGAAGACAUCCUUUUUUGCACAAGAUGUAGUACUGAGCAGAGCUCUCUGAGAUAGCACAGAGGUAAAUCUCAGUUGUUUGUGGCUCAGCACAAUGAGGAUCCUGAAGUGUUACUGAUGGGCUAUCUCUGUGACUGAAGCCAGUAAGAUGUUUAUUUUCCAAAGGUACUCACUAUAAAUGGAUGUUACUUCUCAUUUUGGUGUUUUCUAGAUAAUGACAGUUGGGCUUCUCAAGUAAAAACUUUUUAAAUUAUUCAUUUUUUUUGUGUAUUUAUUUAUUGUGAGGAGAGGGUGAUAAGUUCUCAAAUUUCUUGUGAUGCGUCUCAGAAAGAUAUGAAACUCUUGCUCACUUUUCAUACCCAGAGAGUCUUCUUGUCUUCUCCUAAGGUUAAAAACAUAACAGCCAAGUUGUAUAAUAUGCCCACAAUAGUAUUUCUUGACACAUUUUUAAGAAGCCUAGAUAGAAGAUAUGUCAAACCAUAUGGAAAGAAGAGGUUUCACUUUUCUUUUUUUAACCAAAAACUAUUUUUUAAAAUUAUUUUUACUCACUGAACUU